CGCCGGCUAGCUUUUGUUUCUGGGGCUCUCUGUAAACGAAUCUAACAAUCUGUACGUUUCCUUUUUUUUAAAACAAUUUUUUAUAAUUAAAUUUCGUUUCUUGGUUUCUUGUCUAUGAUUUCUUUGUUUCUUUGGUUUCUUGUUCUUCAUUUUUGUAUUGGGUCUUUGUUUAGGAUCUUUUAGUGAUAAAGGCAAGGGGAGAAGAUGUUUGGAAGAGCACCGAAAAAAAGCGAUAACACCAAGUACUAUGAGAUUCUUGGGGUCUCAAAGAACGCUUCACAGGAUGAUCUAAAGAAGGCUUAUAGAAAAGCUGCCAUCAAGAACCAUCCUGACAAGGGUGGUGAUCCUGAAAAGUUUAAAGAGUUGGCCCAAGCUUAUGAGGUUUUGAGUGAUCCAGAGAAACGUGAGAUAUAUGAUCAAUAUGGAGAGGACGCCCUCAAGGAGGGAAUGGGCAGUGGAGGUGGUGCUCAUGACCCAUUUGACAUUUUCCAAUCCUUCUUUGGUGGCAACCCAUUUGGUGGUGGUGGUAGCAGCAGAGGCCGUAGACAGAGGAGGGGAGAGGAUGUUAUCCAUCCUCUCAAGGUUUCUUUGGAAGAUCUCUACAAUGGCACCUCCAAGAAGCUGUCUCUUUCCCGUAAUGUUAUCUGCUCAAAGUGCAAAGGUAAAGGGUCCAAAUCAGGUGCAUCAAUGAAAUGUUCGGGUUGCCAAGGUUCUGGAAUGAAGGUCUCCAUAAGACAACUUGGUCCCUCUAUGAUCCAGCAAAUGCAGCAUCCUUGUAAUGAAUGUAAGGGUACUGGUGAGACCAUUAAUGAUAAGGAUCGUUGCCCUCAAUGUAAAGGUGAAAAGGUUGUUCAGGAGAAGAAAGUGCUGGAAGUUAUUGUUGAGAAGGGUAUGCAAAAUGGACAGAGGAUUACUUUCCCUGGAGAAGCUGAUGAAGCUCCUGAUACUAUCACAGGGGACAUUGUUUUUGUCCUUCAGCAAAAGGAGCAUCCUAAGUUCAAGCGAAAGGGUGAUGACCUAAUUGUUGAUCACACUUUAUCUCUUACAGAGGCACUUUGUGGCUUCCAGUUUAUAUUAACCCAUUUAGAUGGAAGACAACUCCUCAUAAAAUCCCAACCUGGGGAGGUAGUGAAGCCUGAUCAAUUCAAGGCCAUAAAUGAUGAAGGGAUGCCAAUGUAUCAGAGGCCAUUCAUGAGGGGGAAACUGUACAUUCAUUUCAGUGUUGAUUUCCCAGACUCUCUGCCCCCUGAUCAGUGCAAAGCCCUAGAGGCAGUUCUUCCCUCAAGAACAUCAGUCCAGCUGUCUGACAUGGAGCUGGAUGAAUGUGAGGAGACAACUUUACACGAUGUGAACUUUGACGAGGAGAUGCGAAGGAAGCAACAACAGGCCCAAGAGGCAUAUGAUGAAGAUGAUGAUAUGCAUGGUGGUGGCCAGAGGGUGCAAUGUGCUCAGCAAUAAAUUAACAAAACGAGAUCAUCUGAAUUAGCACCAGGAUCGAUUGAUGUUGGUUUGACUGAUGGUUUGCGAGUAUAAGAUUCUGAAACAUUCAUUGUCUUCUGUUAUAGGAUUUUAGACUUUUAGCUGUUAUGGGAUUUCACUUUUGUUUGCAAAGAUAAUGUAUGCAAGAUCUAGUAUCUGGAACUUAAAAGAUUGCCAUGUUCAAGAAUGUUUCUACGUGGUUUUUUAUUAUUUUUUUUGGUAUAAUCUGGAUUGCUAGUUUGCUGUGUAGUUCUUUGGUAUGUUUGCAUUUCUGUAACAGAUGCCUGAACCUAAAUUUUUUAGUUACUUUAAGGUGUGUUUUGAAUAAUUAGGAAUAUCCCGAGGAACACGAAGUCACUA
rnacentral:misc_RNA from 1 species